rnacentral:misc_RNA from 1 species
AACGCAUAUUGCGCUCGAGGCUUCGGCCGAGAGCAUGUCUGCCUCAGCGUCGGUUCACCCCCUCACACCCUCCCUUUGGUUUUACAAGUGGGCUGGGCUGUGGAUCUGGCCGUGUCGGCUGCCCAUUGUGGCCGAGUCGGCUGAAGCUCAGAGGCUUGAGCAAGCGCCCAUUCAACCGGGCAUCAACUAGGUGGGUGGCCCACGGGCUGCGAAGCCGUUGAUGGCCGGGGGACUUGCUGGGGGCCUGCAGGAACACCGCUCCCCGAUAGGAGGGCUGGUGGCGACUCACCUUUCGACCUGAGAUCAGGCAAGAACACCCGCUGAACUUAA